AACACGUGGGUAACCUGCCUGUAAGACUGGGAUAACUCCGGGAAACCGGGGCUAAUACCGGAUGCUUGAUUGAACCGCAUGGUUCAAUCAUAAAAGGUGGCUUUUAGCUACCACUUACAGAUGGACCCGCGGCGCAUUAGCUAGUUGGUGAGGUAACGGCUCACCAAGGCGACGAUGCGUAGCCGACCUGAGAGGGUGAUCGGCCACACUGGGACUGAGACACGGCCCAGACUCCUACGGGAGGCAGCAGUAGGGAAUCUUCCGCAAUGGACGAAAGUCUGACGGAGCAACGCCGCGUGAGUGAUGAAGGUUUUCGGAUCGUAAAACUCUGUUGUUAGGGAAGAACAAGUACCGUUCGAAUAGGGCGGCACCUUGACGGUACCUAACCAGAAAGCCACGGCUAACUACGUGCCAGCAGCCGCGGUAAUACGUAGGUGGCAAGCGUUGUCCGGAAUUAUUGGGCGUAAAGCGCGCGCAGGCGGUUUCUUAAGUCUGAUGUGAAAGCCCCCGGCUCAACCGGGGAGGGUCAUUGGAAACUGGGGAACUUGAGUGCAGAAGAGGAGAGUGGAAUUCCACGUGUAGCGGUGAAAUGCGUAGAGAUGUGGAGGUACACUCAGUGGCGAAGGCGACUCUCUGGUCUG
rnacentral:rRNA from 1 species